GAUGAACGCUGGCGGCGUGCUUAACACAUGCAAGUCGAACGGAAGGACCCUGCUUUUGUGUGUUUCUCGUUUGGGGAACGGGUGAGUGACACAUGUGUAAACUGCCCUUGACUGUGUGAGAACUUCAGGAGACUGGGUCUCUUACCGGGUAUGAGCUCCUGCUGCGUGUGGGGCGAAGGUGAGAUUCGGCGUUUGGGGAUGGACUCGAGGGUUAUCAGCUUGUUUGUGGGGUAGUGGCUUACCACGGCUUUGACGGGUAGCCGGCCUGAGAGGGUGAACGGCCACAUUGGGCCUGAGAUAGGCCGCAGAAGCGUACGUGAGGCAACAGUCGGGAACAUUGCGCAAUGGGGCGACGUCAGAUGCAGCAACGCUGCGUGCGGGAUGACGGCCUACGAGUGAUAAACCGAUUUCGAAGGUGACGAAGCGAGAGUGACGGUAACGAGUCAAAAAGCAACGGCUAACUACGUG
rnacentral:rRNA from 1 species